rnacentral:rRNA from 1 species
AUUGAACGCUGGCGGCAUGCCUUACACAUGCAAGUCGAACGGCAGCACGGGUGCUUGCACCUGGUGGCGAGUGGCGAACGGGUGAGUAAUACAUCGGAACGUACCUUAUUGUGGGGGAUAACGCAGCUAAAGCUGUGCUAAUACCGCAUACCCCCUGAGGGGGAAAGCGGGCGUUCGCAAGACCUCGCGCGAUUACAGCGGCCGAUGCCUGAUUAGCUAGUUGGUGGGGUAAAAGCCCACCAAGGCGACGAUCAGUAGCUGGUCUGGGAGGACGAUCAGCCACACUGGGACUGAGACACGGCCCAGACUCCUACGGGAGGCAGCAGUGGGGAAUUUUGGACAAUGGGGGCAACCCUGAUCCAGCAAUGCCGCGUGAGUGAAGAAGGCCUUCGGGUUGUAAAGCUCUUUUGUCAGGGAAGAAACACCGGCUCUAACACAGUCCGGGAAUGACGGUACCUGAAGAGUAAGCACCGGCUAACUACGUGCCAGCAGCCGCCGUAA